AGCUAAUACUUGCUUUAGCACUCUUGAUUUAUUUCUUGAGUGUGUACUUGUUAAGCCUUAUAAGAAAAGAGUUAUUAACUUAAGGAAUUAUAACAAAGAAGUAACACGUAAUGGAUUAUUCCAUUUUUUAGUGUGUAUCAAUCGAGUUUCUGACCUAUCAGCUUUUGAUGUUAGGGUAUUGGCCUAACAUGGCUAUGACGGGUAACGGGGAAUUAGAGUUCGAUUCCGGAGAGGGAGCCUGAGAAAUAGCUACCACAUCUAAGGAAGGCAGCAGGCGCGUAAAUUACCCGAUUCUAAAGAAGAGAGGUAGUGACAAGAAAUAACAAUACAAGGCCAAUCUGGCUUUGUAAUUGGAAUGAUGGGAAUUUAAAACCUUCCCAAAAUUCAAUUGGAGGGCAAGUCUGGUGCCAGCAGCCGCGGUAAUUCCAGCUCCAAUAGCGUAUAUUAAAAUUGUUGCAGUUAAAACGCUCGUAGUUGAAUUUCAAAGAAUCGAUAUUUUAAGUAACGCUUCUAGCUACAAAUCCACAUAACUGAUGUCUCCGCGUAUCGACUUUGUGCGCAUUUUAGCUAUUAUGUGUUCUUUUAAUUAAAAUGAUUCUUUUUAAGAUUCAUCUAUUAAAAAUUUGCUUCGGCAUAAUUUUUUUUGAUGAUCUUGUUACUUUGAGUAAAUUAGAGUGUUCAAAGCAAACAGAUAUAGCAUUUGUGCGUUUGAAUACUACGGCAUGGAAUAACAAAAUUGAACAGGUCAGAAUUUUUUUGUUCUUUUUUCUUAUUUUGGCUUAGUUACGAUUAAUAGGAGUAGCUUGGGGGCAUUUGUAUUCAGAUGUCAGAGGUGAAAUUCUUAGAUUUUCUGGAGACAAACAACUGCGAAAGCAUUUGCCUAAAAUACUUCCAUUAAUCAAGAACGAAAGUUAAGGGAGUGAAGACGAUCAGAUACCGUCAUAAUCUUAACCAUAAACUAUGCCGACUAGGCUUUGGAUGAAAGAUUUUAAAAUAAGAGUUUU
rnacentral:rRNA from 1 species